UACGUAGGCAGCAAGCGUUGUUCGGAAUUACUGGGCGUAAAGAGUGUGUAGGCGGUGCUCUAAGUUUGGUGUGAAAUCUCCCGGCUCAACUGGGAGGGUGCGCCGAAAACUGGAAUGCUUGAACGUGGGAGAGGAAAGCGGAAUUCCUGGUGUAGCGGUGAAAUGCGUAGAUAUCAGGAGGAACACCUGCGGUGUAGACGGCUUUCUGGACCAUUGUUGAAGCUGAGACACGAAAGCGUGGGUAGCAAACAGG
rnacentral:rRNA from 1 species